rnacentral:rRNA from 1 species
AGACUCGACUAACUCCCAACCCCAGUGUGAACGUUACCAAUCUGUUGCCUCGGCGGG